UUUUAAGCACACCACAUGAUGCUCUUCCAUGGGAAAUAAAGUUGAUCACAUUAUUUCUAACUUCAAUGAUCCCUCAGCAACAUCAAGAAUCUUAAAAAGAUAAAGAAAAGUUAUGACACAUUGCAUCAUCUGUCAGACAAGCUGCUUGAGUCCCAAUUCCAGUAAUCAUCACGGGAAAAGAGAAAAAUGAUGCUUUUGAUCCAAGCAAGUCAAGAAAGGUUGUGUCCUCCUCCUCACACUUUUUUUGGAAAGCAAUCCCAUUCAAAUUUGAAAGUGAAGCCACUUUCUCCCUCCCUAACAGUAUUGAAACCUAAGGAACAAGAGCACAUCCUUAUAAGCUAUUACUCUGCAGCUAGUACAAAAGGAGAGGGAUUUGCAUUAGAACAAGUGUUAAGAGUUGAGCUUCAGGCAAGGUAAGAUCAUUAUUUAUAACAAGCUGAUCUGCUUCUAUAUGAUUAACAGAAAAACAGUGAAUUAAUGUUGUUACCUUAAUAUUGUUUAAAUGGCCUCUAGAUGUGUGAAGCCAUGCCAGGCAGAGUGGUUAACACAAAAUUAAUGUGAAUCCAAGAGAGAGUUCUGGGAAACAUUUUCACCUGGAGUAUGCUUAAUUAAUGACCUUGAAACCAUAAGCUCUCAUAAGCCUCUGCAGUAUGGUCUUAUUUGGGGAGACAGGACACAGCCUGAUUUAAUGGGAUAUUCUUCAGAGACUGGUAAAACUGUCCUCUCACCAGAUCUCUGCUUGGGCAGUCAGACUUAUUCUUCAAGUACUUGCAUAAACAUUAACACAUCUGACAUGUCUCCACCAACUCCUGCAGUUUUAUAGGACAUCUAGGCUAUUUUUUUGAGAAAGAAAGUGAAGACAUGCUGUGGCCCCUAUUGCAAUGAAAAUCAGAAAACUGAUGCUUGCAAAAUGUCCGAAGAAAAGUCCUGAGUGUUUGCUACGUGACUCAAUAUGCAUGCACUCAUGCUCAUGCAUUUAUUUUGAAGUCUGAAGGGUCUCACUCUGUCACCCAGGCUGGAGAGCAGUGGUGCAAUCAUAGCUCACUGUAACCUGGAACUCCUGGGCUCAAGUGAUCCUCCUACCUUGGCCUUCUGAGUAGCUGGAAUUACAGGCAGAUGCCACCAUGCCCAGCUAUUGAAACAAAAAAUGUAGACAUGGGAUUUUGCUGUGUUACCCAGGCUGGUUUUGAACUCAUGGCUUCAAGCAAACCUCUCACUUCAGCCUUCCAAAGCUCUUGGCUUGAAGGCAUGAGUCAUCAUGCCCAGCCUUAACUGGUUAGAUUUUGAAUUCAAUAUAUUUAUAUAUUCAUGAAAGGUCUAUAAAGAAGAUUGGCAAAUAGGCAAUUCAUGACAUAUACUGUCCCUCUCUAUGAACAGCUUUUAACAAAACUAUUAUGUAACAUUGAUUAUUCUAACAAGUUAAUUGAUAAAGACAUGACUGGCUGCAUCUCUCAAAAAGUAAUCAUUUUAAUUUCCCUAAAUCAUGAAAUAAAUAGAAAUGUCAUGUAGUAAAGGCAAUACAGGUUUUAUACUCUCUAGGAGUUCAUUUCAGACAUAUUAGAUGAGAAGGAAAUGAUGUUAUUUCUAUGCUGUUAUAUUAGUGAGUCAAAAUAAUUUUCUGACUUUUCAUAAAUGCAUUGAAUAUGUUAAUAGCUAUUUUAUAGAAUUAUCUUCUGUUCAAACCAUUCAAGGUGGAAUAAUAGACACAAAAAUUAAAUAUAUUACAUCACUGAAAUUCCCUCUCUUACUCUGUUUUUAACACUGUUUUGGCUUGGCUUGGCUUUUCUUUCUUUCUUUUUCUCUUUCUUUCUUUCUUUUUGUUUUUUUACUCAUUUAAAUGAAGACAUGUUUUGAGAACCCAUUUGGUUGAAGUCUUAGUUACAGUAUUGAUUUUUUAAGUGGCUUGUAUCAUUCAGGUUAGUUGAACAUACUGGGAAAGUUUCCAAACAUUGGCAGAAACCCAAACUGAACUUUCUUCCAAAAAGUCAUGAAGAAUUUCAUUAACCUUUUAACAGAAAAAAAAAAAAAAAAGAAGGUAUAUUUCUCAUUUGUUCAAUUCUAAGGCCAUGUGCUCCCAGGAGAACAAAAAAAAAAGCCAGAUCAUAGCAUGAUGCUUUUUAUUUACAUCAGUGUUUGUAUUUGAAAAAGUAAAAUGUUAAGAUUGUCUCUAUAGUCAGUAACACAGACCUGGUGAGUUCCAACCCUUGUAUGUUUUACAUACAUUGAAUGCAUGUAAAAUUAUAUAUGCCUACAAUACCUUAGAAUGAUCAUCAAUGCUCAUAUUGUUGCUGAGUCAGUACAAUCUUUCACAGGUCUUUCUCAAUUGGUAAAUUGAGAAAAAAAAUUAAGUAGAAAGGAGAAAAGUAAUACUUAUGAAUUUAAAAUAAUUUUAAUUAUUUUUUUUUGCAAAAUUAACAUGAAUAAUGAUGAAUUCUGAUCAUUGCCUAUUAUAUUUGGGACAAAUGACUUGAUAAGACAAAAAGUACCAGAGAAGCAAAGUUAGAAUUAAAUACAGAGAUGAAUUCAGGUAAAAUUUUAUCAUCAGUGUUACACAAGACUUAAUUCAUUAAAUGAAUUUUCUAGAUGAAAAUGAACUUACAACAUAUUCUUUUAAACUAAAAGUAGGAUUAAACUAAUCAUAGAACUGCUUCAGGGAUGUCAAAAUUAAGGGCUAUUUGGCCAAUAAUUGAUAAACCUCAGUAUUUUUCUAAACUCAUGAAAACCUUAAUACAUUUAAAUAUUUAGAUUUAGUCAAAACUUUAUGCAGGACUGGAGGCAGAAAACGAAAUAGUUCCUCUCACAAUUUUGUCAUAGAUAUUUCUUUCACAAUUUUGAGUUUUGGGGUUUGAUGUCAAAAUAAAAGAAUAGGGAAAAUACUUUAGAGUAAUAAGUAAAAAAGUAAAGAAAAUGUAGGAAGAGAGGUAGAUCUGAAAAUACAGGUGAAAUAUUAUUUGUUACUCUUAUUUAUUUAUUUAUGAGAUGGAGUUUUGCUCUUGUUGCCCUGGCUGGAGUGCAAUAGCUGAUCUCGGCUCACGACAACCUCUGACUUCCUGGUUCAAGUGAUUCUGCUACCUCAGCCUCCUGAGUAGAUGGGAUUACAGGCAUGCACCACCAUGCCGGGCUAAUUUUGUGUUUUUAAGAGAAACAGAGUUUCUACUACCUAAAGUUUCACCGACCUUAGGUGAUCCACCUGCCUCAGCCUCCCAAAGUGCUGGGAUUACAGGCAUGAACCACUGUGCCCAGAUCAUUAAUCUUAUUUUAUAGAAUAGGAUUUAUCUAAUUAAUGUAUAAUUUUAUUCUUAAAUUUAGAAAAAUGAGAAUUCAAAAAUUCUACAUUAUACAUUUAAAUUGCUUAUCUAUGAACAUCACAGCAUGCUUCCAAUUUUUAAAUUUCUUUAUAGAACUUAGAAUAGUACAUUUUAAAAAUGUUGAAUAAAGAGAAAAUGGAUUCUUUUUGAUUCAUGUGACUUUCAUGUCAAUUACUGUACUCAACUUCCUUGUUAGAACUUGCACAUCAGCAGGUAGCAUGGGUUUCUGCUACAGACCUUUCAAUAUAUCUACUUAGAAGCUGCCCUUUGAACCUCAUCUUCUUGCUAUCACAUCCGUAAAGUAAUUCACAAUACAAGUGGUUGCAUUAACUAUUCCAGGACUACGUAAAAAUCCAUUUUUAUUGACAUGCUAUGUAUCCAUACAUUUUCUCUGGAAAGUAAAGAGGAAGAGUUCAUUGUCUCUACAAAUAAUAUCAGCCAAAUAAUUAAAAGGAUUGCUAGUAGCUAUCCUACUUUUUGUGCUGCUGGGGUGACACUGUGAACCUCUGAUGUUCUCUAGGUAGCUGUCCUGCUGCUCAUUCCAAAUUUGUCAGGUUAUUUGGCACCUGAUCUGACCUUAAUGUCUACGAUGAACUGCUGAGCUAUGAAGUGUUCUGAUUUUUUGGAUGCUUUGCCAAAUUCCUUCCCCAACCCCUGCCACCUUUAAAAUAACAAGGUCAAUCACACAAAAGAAAGAUGGCAGAGUUUCAGUUCCAAUGAUGCUGAUUAUCAGCAUAACACAUAUGGUUCAGCAUAACAUCCAACUUGUCCUUGAAGACUAUAGCAACUCUAGCUGGAAUUGGCUAAGAUAAAGUAAUUAUGAAUAAAAGUGCCCAUUUUUCUAAAGAUACUUUACCAACCAUCCAAGAAAGUGCAUUUUAAAUUCUGUUUUCCAAACUAUAAUCACUUAAUUAAAAAAAAUCACUUUUAAAGAAAACAAUGUUUACUCACAUUGGCUAUAGUCAAAUGAAACCGACAUCAGUCAAAUAAAUUGCAGAGUCUUACAAUUUAUUUGUUAUGAAUCAGUUUUAAAGAUGGUAAAACAAGGAGCUAUUUGUGGACAAUGGUAUAUAAUGCUCUAUACCCUAAGGAUUCCUUUCUUACUAUUUUGACCAAGCAGAAUCCAGAGAAGUGCUUUCUUAUGAAAUAAUUUAUACCUUCAUCUUUUACUCAUUACUUAAAUACUACCUUUGUUUUAUCUUUUCUAAUUUCUUGAUAGUUCUCAAGGUACAGGUUUUGUAAUUUAGUCUUAUAUACACUCACUGAAAAUACCCUCAAUAUUACCUGAACAGAUCAUGGUUUUACCUUAGACUUCACCCACUCUGGUAUAGAGUAACAAGCAAGCAAAAUGAUACCACAAAGUUCUGAUACCCUCUUCACCUGGGCAACAUAGAGACAUGUUAUGACUUCUAAUGCAUACAGAAACAAGAUUAGUACAUAACACAUACAUAGCACUCAAAGAAUAAAAUUGGUAUAUUAUAUAAACAUUCUACAGUAAAUUAUUCACAUAGUAAGUAAAUCUUCAUUUGAGAACCCUUAUAGGCAGCUAGUAGGGUACUAGUUGUUUUUUUAUUCAUCCAAGGAAAAUUUUUAUUACUGGCCAAUCAUGGGCAUACUAUUAUACAACCUGAGUAGAUAUAUUAUAGAACUUCAAAGUAAAACAAAUGUCAAUAAUCAGCUAACAUUUUAUAUAUGAGGAGAGUGAUGUCCAGAGAGGUAAAGUAACAUCCCAAAGUAUCAACAGCUGGUUGAAUAAAAGAGGACUAGAAUAUUGAUGUUAUUCUUUCCAUAAAACUGUGGUUUAUUAUUGCUUGGAAUAGGUAAUAUAUACUUUUUAUAUCUAUUUAGGAGAUUAUUGCUUUGAUAAUACAACAAUAUAAAAAAUACUGUUGGCAAUAUAUCUCCCUGUUUAUAAGUUCUAUCUAUAUAUCGACCUAUAGAUCUAUGUAUCUCUCUGUACUUAUCUAUUGAUUGAUAUAGGCCCAAUAAUAUACCAACAGAUCAGCAGAUUUACAAUUUAUAGUUACCAUUUCAAAGCCAAACUUUAUUUUAAUACUAUUCAUUUUUCCUUCUCCUUUUUAAAAAUGUAACUCAUGAAAAGGUUGAAAUUUAAAACAAAAAUAAUGUC